CACACACACACACACACACACACGCACACACACACACACGCACACACGCACGCACGCACACACACACACGCACACGGUCGUGCGCAGGAGCACGCAAUCGCGUGACACCGGGUUGAAAGAAAGACGUCAACUCUGGAGUGACCGAAAAUUUGCGGUUCUGGUUUGUGUGACGUAAUCUUUCAAUAUGCCAGGCAGCACAUGUAAAACAUGCCCCUCCUGCAAAACCAUUCUGCCUUGCGCUAAAAAGGUUUGCAGCCACUGCAAAAUGGUCCAGCCUGUAAAGGAACGCCUCAAAAUUGCCUUGAGAAAAUUUGAGGCUAAGCGGGAAGAGUGGGCGUCUUCCCGCAAGAAGAACCACAACAUGGCUGUUGUCAAGCAGGAAAUGUUCCUCCUGCUCGAAAAGCUUCAAGCAGCAGGAUAUAAACCUGUCCUGCUGCUUGGAAAAGCCACUAAAAAGAGCCAUGUGGUCAAGGUGUUCACACCUCGUUGCACCUUGGCCACAUUUGCGGAGGAGUCCCUCAAAAAAAAAUGGGCUCCAUCCAUGAGUACAUUUGUCAAGGAUGGACCCCUUUUGCAAGUGGGACUGCAGAGGGGCC
ensembl:lncRNA